AAUCUUACCGGGUCCGGACACACUGAGGAUUGACAGGCAAUAUCUAAAUCGUUUAUAAUAAUUCCUAUUAUAAUACGCUUUUAGUGUUAAAUAUGCUAGUCCUUUCAUGAUUAUGUGAUAGGUGGUGCAUGGCCGUUCUUAGUUCGUGGAGUGAUCUGUCUGCUUAAUUGCGUUUCACUAAGGGCCCAUAAAUUCAAGGUAUGUUAGCUAUCGUUUCUCAAUUGACCCCUUGUCUUCGAUAAGCGCGUGUCUUUUAGAGUUUAAACAUUGCGCAUGCUGUUGGGUCCUGAAAGCAACGAACGUGACCGCAACGUCUUAUUGCCUUUAUCUUGCUAUAUUCUAAUUUAAUUAGGAAUAACUAACAGAGGCUAAUUUAAAAUUAGACGGACCGCUGUACUUUUCUUAAACCAGAGGAAGGUUGCGGCAAUAACAGGUCUGUGAUGCCCUUAGAUGUUCCGGGCUGCACACGUGCUACAAUGAUCAGUACAGUGAGCAUCUCAAUAUUAUACACCGUAUUAAGCGCUUAGUUGCGAUUAUUGGCUCAUUAUUGGGUCUUUUAAUUGUAUUUCUAAUGCGCGCGGUAAAGCCUGCUUCGAGAGUAAGUGGGUAAUCCAUUGGAAGUAAUGAUUUCUCUUUUUAUAGCACACCUAUAUACGGCAUUCAUUCCCGGGACGACUAGUUUCGUCUUUUUUGUGCGAAUGUAAUGUAUUCUUUAUCCGUAUGUGCGAUUGUCAAUUCAUGGGGGGACAGACCAUUG
rnacentral:rRNA from 1 species